ensembl:lncRNA
CUAAUAACUAGUGCUGCUAUUCAGCCUCCGUCAGACUACAGACCCAGAGGACUGUCUGUGACCAUGGCUGAGAGGCGGUAAUGACCAGGUUUUGCCCAAAUGAGCCAAAUAAAGCCCUGACUUAAUUUAUUCAGAAUACAGGACGUGAACUGUACUACGCACUCACUUCCUACUUAUCUAAUUGGCUAGAUGCAACCCAUCUAUCAUUAUGAGGACUCAGAGGGAGUUGGGGUGCAGGGUCGUGGCAACACACACGUCUUCACUUUGAUUGAAAAGAUCAAAAGGUAUUUGAUUGCACACGUUUGAUUCCCUUGUAAAACACACAAACAGGGCUGGAUAGUUGUGGUGUGUCUCCAUGUGGCCGGUCAAAUGGAAAGUAUUUUGUUGAAAGAGAUUUGCUGCAGCUAAAGACCUGAUGACAUUUCAUUAACUGUCUGGCUCUGUCCCAAAUGGCACCCUAUUCCCUAUACAGCGCAGUACUUGUUACAAGAAGUAGUGCACUAUAAAGGGAAGAGGGUGCCAUUUGAGAAAACACCCCUGGUAUUCAUGAGGCUGUUUACUAACAAGUGUAGUCCAGUCAGGCCACAGGCAGCAGGUCCAGUCUACAGUACUGGGGAUGGAUAUGUCAGGCUACAGGCAGCAGGUCCAGUCUACAGUACUGGGGAUGGAUAUGUCAGGCUACAGGCAGCAGGUCCAGUCUACAGUACUGGGGAUGGAUAUGUCAGGCUACAGGCAGCAGGUCCAGUCUACAGUACUGGGGAUGGAUAUGUCAGGCUACAGACAGACAGCAGGUCCAGUCUACAGUACUGGGGAUGGAUAUGUCAGACAGCAGGCCCAGCUCCAGUCUACAGUACUGGGAAUGGCUAUUGUGUAGAUUAGAAAUUAUAAGAGAGUCUUGGCAAGAGAUAACCUCAAAGGUUUUUCAACAAUAAAAUGCCAAGUCCAAGAGCAACCCAUUUUUUCUUAGUUUGACAUCAUUGCAUGAAUAUUUGACAUCCACUUGAAUGGUGACGAGGAGCUGCAAAUAAAAUGAGAAGGUUUGGAAGAAAAAUAAUAGAAGUCAAAGAAAGGCCACCAACAUUAGGGCACUAUAAAGGGAAUAGGGUGCCAUUUGGGAUUUGGUCUUCAAUGAGGUCUGAGGGAGGGGGGCACACUGAAAAUGUGUUAUAUUUCCUUGCAAUCAAAAUGAGCAAAAAAUAGUCCUCUAUCCUUCAAAUGUUUGUUUCUCGAUACUCCCUGUUUAGCUUUAAUUAAAGUAUAUUGAGUUUGUUCCCCCACCCCAAAAAUAUAUUUUUACUCAAACCAUGAGCCGUAUGUUUGACAGCCCUGAUCUAGCCCAAAACAAACCUUUCUCCCUUGACACAAACCUGACCCCUCUCCUAUCCUCUGUCUUCUUUCAACUGCUUUGUGAAAGGGGUGUCGCUCGGAUGCCAUUUCUGACAUUGUAAGGUAAUUGGCAAUUUCUUUGAUGAGGCACAGACAAAAGUGGUUGUGCAUUAGAUGGGUACAGCAGUGAAAUUAAUGCAUGCUAAUUAAGCAGCUCUUUGUUGCAGGGAGGGUGCUGGGGCAGAUGAGAAGGCUCUGUAGCACUCUGUUCUCUAUGGGACAGAUUGAGCACCCAUUGUCAACGGCUCACUCAGGUGUAAAUGAGCCCUCUGUGUUAUUUUGGAAAAAUUUAUGAUGUGCAACACGCACACAGAGAGAGAGAGAGAGAGAGAGAGGGAUAGAGAGAGAGAGAGAGGGAUAGAGAGAGAGAGAGAGAGAGAUAGAGAGACAGAUAGA